rnacentral:rRNA from 1 species
GAUUAAGUUAUUAAGGGCGCACGGUGGAUGCCUUGGCACUAGAAGCCGAUGAAGGACGUUACUAACGACGAUAUGCUUUGGGGAGCUGUAAGUAAGCUUUGAUCCAGAGAUUUCCGAAUGGGGA